AAACUUUCAACAACGGAUCUCUUGGUUCUGGCAUCGAUGAAGAACGCAGCGAAAUGCGAUAAGUAAUAUGAAUUGCAGAAUUCAGUGAAUCAUCGAAUCUUUGAACGCACAUUGCGCCCUCUGGUAUUCCGGGGGGCAUGCCUGUUCGAGCGUCAUU
rnacentral:rRNA from 1 species